CACUAUAUACAUUUGGCUUCCGCAACAAAUAUCACUUGCCUAUCUUUGAGUUAAUGCUAUUUGUAUUUGCUGCUUCCGUUAUGUGUAUACUUUAGGGGUGAAGAAGCCGGCUGGAACAGCUGAAGAAAUUGAAAAACAAUUCGGUUGUGAAUCGUCGAGGCUUAUUAUGGUGGGUGAUAGGCCGUUUACAGACAUAGUUUAUGGUAAUAGAAAUGGUUUUCUUACUAUUUUAACAGAGCCACUAAGUCGUGCAGAGGAACCAUUAAUUGUACAGCAGGUCAGGGUACUUGAGGUAGCUUUUGUGAACCGAUGGAGUAGCCAGGGGAUGAAGCCAGUCAAUCAUACGCUUCUUCCUGAUUGCCAGCAGUGUGUGAAAGACGAACCACUUUAGGGAAUUUCUUUAGAUAAAGUGAGAAAAAAUUUGUUUGCCCUCUUCCCAUAAAGAGAAAAAGAACACCCAACCCAACCAUGAACAGACUUUUUUUUGUUACCACUAAUAAUUAUACAGGGUUAUUUCCAUGGGUUUGCCUCUUGCGUUUGGAAUCUGAUAAGAAGGCUAUAUCAAUCAUUUCAGCAUUUCUUUGAUUGAAUCUUAGAAUAAUUUUCUCUUGAAUCGAUGCUGCUUGUGCCUGAAUCUAAAAAUUUAUUUGGUGAUAAUGAUAGAAGCAUUUGUCAACGA